rnacentral:rRNA from 1 species
AGUGAACGCUGGCGGUAGGCCUAACACAUGCAAGUCGAACGGCAGCACAGUAAGAGCUUGCUCUUACGGGUGGCGAGUGGCGGACGGGUGAGGAAUACAUCGGAAUCUACUUUUUCGUGGGGGAUAACGUAGGGAAACUUACGCUAAUACCGCAUACGACCUACGGGUGAAAGCAGGGGAUCUUCGGACCUUGCGCGAUUGAAUGAGCCGAUGUCGGAUUAGCUAGUUGGCGGGGUAAAGGCCCACCAAGGCGACGAUCCGUAGCUGGUCUGAGAGGAUGAUAAGCCACACUGGAACUGAGACACGGUCCAGACUCCUACGGGAGGCAGCAGUGGGGAAUAUUGGACAAUGGGCGCAAGCCCGAUCCAGCCAUACCGCGUGGGUGAAGAAGGCCUUCGGGCUGUAAAGCCCUUUUGUUGGGAAAGAAAAGCAGCAGGUUAAUACCCCGCUGUUCUGACGGUACCCAAAGAAUAAGCACCGGCUAACUUCGUG